AGUGUGUGUGUUAGUGGAAGCGUCUGGAAAGGCGCGCGAUACAGGGUGACAGCCCCGUACACAAAAAUGCACAUGCUGUGAGCUCGAUGAGUAGGGCGGGACACGUGGUAUCCUGUCUGAAUAUGGGGGGACCAUCCUCCAAGGCUAAAUACUCCUGACUGACCGAUAGUGAACCAGUACCGUGAGGGAAAGGCGAAAAGAACCCCGGCGAGGGGAGUGAAAAAGAACCUGAAACCGUGUACGUACAAGCAGUGGGAGCACGCUUAGGCGUGUGACUGCGUACCUUUUGUAUAAUGGGUCAGCGACUUAUAUUCUGUAGCAAGGUUAACCGAAUAGGGGAGCCGAAGGGAAACCGAGUCUUAACUGGGCGUUAAGUUGCAGGGUAUAGACCCGAAACCCGGUGAUCUAGCCAUGGGCAGGUUGAAGGUUGGGUAACACUAACUGGAGGACCGAACCGACUAAUGUUGAAAAAUUAGCGGAUGACUUGUGGCUGGGGGUGAAAGGCCAAUCAAACCGGGAGAUAGCUGGUUCUCCCCGAAAGCUAUUUAGGUAGCGCCUCGUGAAUUCAUCUCCGGGGGUAGAGCACUGUUUCGGCAAGGGGGUCAUCCCGACUUACCAACCCGAUGCAAACUGCGAAUACCGGAGAAUGUUAUCACGGGAGACACACGGCGGGUGCUAACGUCCGUCGUGAAGAGGGAAACAACCCAGACCGCCAGCUAAGGUCCCAAAGUCAUGGUUAAGUGGGAAACGAUGUGGGAAGGCCCAGACAGCCAGGAUGUUGGCUUAGAAGCAGCCAUCAUUUAAAGAAAGCGUAAUAGCUCACUGGUCGAGUCGGCCUGCGCGGAAGAUGUAACGGGGCUAAACCAUGCACCGAAGCUGCGGCAGCGACACUAUGUGUUGUUGGGUAGGGGAGCGUUCUGUAAGCCUGUGAAGGUGUGCUGUGAGG
rnacentral:rRNA from 1 species